GACGAACGCUGGCGGCGUGCUUAACACAUGCAAGUCGAACGGACAGGCCCUGCUUUUGUGGGGUGCUCGAGUGGCGAACGGGUGAGUAACACGUGAGUAACCUGCCCUUGACUUUGGGAUAACUUCAGGAAACUGGGGCUAAUACCGGAUAGGAGCUCCUGCUGCAUGGUGGGGGUUGGAAAGUUUCGGCGGUUGGGGAUGGACUCGCGGCUUAUCAGCUUGGUGGUGGGGUAGUGGCUUACCAAGGCUUUGACGGGUAGCCGGCCUGAGAGGGUGACCGGCCACAUUGGGACUGAGCUACGGCCCAGACUCCUACGGGAGGCAGCAGUGGGGAAUAUUGCACAAUGGGCGGAAGCCUGAUGCAGCAACGCCGCGUGCGGGAUGACGGCCUUCGGGUUGUAAACCGCUUUCGCCUGUGACGAAGCGUGAGUGACGGUAAUGGGUAAAGAAGCACCGGCUAACUACGUG
rnacentral:rRNA from 1 species